rnacentral:rRNA from 1 species
GAUGAACGCUGGCGGCGUGCUUAACACAUGCAAGUCGAACGGUGAACGAGGGAGCUUGCUCCCUCCGGAUCAGUGGCGAACGGGUGAGUAACACGUGAGCAAUCUGCCCUGGACUCUGGGAUAAGCGUUGGAAACGGCGUCUAAUACAGGAUCCGAGACGCGAAGGCAUCUUCAGCGUCUGGAAAGAACUUCGGUCCAGGAUGAGCUCGCGGCUUAUCAGGUAGUUGGUGAGGUAACGGCUCACCAAGCCUAGGACGGGUAGCCGGCCGGAGAGGGUGACCGGCCACACUAGGACUGAGACACGGCCCAGACUCCUACGGGAGGCAGCAGUGGGGAAUAUUGCACAAUGGGCGCAAGCCUGAUGCAGCAACGCCGCGUGAGGGACGACGGCCUUCGGGUUGUAAACCUCUUUUAGCAGGGAAGAAGCGAAAGUGACGGUACCUGCAGAAAAAGCACCGGCUAACUACGUGCCAGCCGCCGCUGUAACAC